rnacentral:snoRNA from 1 species
UAGAGACGGAUUUUAGGAAUCCGUCUCUAAUUUAGAGACGGAUUUUAGAAAUCCGUCUCUAAGUUAGAGACGGAUUUUAGAAAUCCGUCUCUAAUUUAGAGACGGAUUUGAAAAUCCGUCUCUAAUU